AUUGUCCGCAUUUCCUCCUGCCUAUAAUUUGACCUUCAAGAAGAGUGUAUCAAGACUCUACUUUUGUCUGUUUGGGAGUGGCGAGUAGUGGGGCUUUUUUUUCUAGUACGCUUUGUUGCUCUUGAGCUGUCUCCUUUGUUUAAAGAAAAUAAUAGUUAAAUAAAUGGAAGUUGGCCGCCAAUGCUUCCAACACAUUUUGGUGCCAUAUCUACAAGUGGCUGGUGACUGUAAGCAUCUCAGCAACCUGCAUGCAUCUAUGCCAUUCCUAUCAUGGUGCAUGGAGCAAGCUUCACAUAACACUCAGACAGAGACAGUUUAAUUAUGGUUACAUAUCAGACUCAGUUUAUUGCUCAGUCUAUUAGGUGCAGUGCUGUUAAUAUUGUUAGUGGUAGUAUUAGUACAAUUAAUGUAUUUAUUUUAAUUAAUUUAUCAAUAUUUAUUUAUUAUAUUCUUAGUGUUUGAAAAUUCCAAUACUAGCAUUAAAAUAAACAAAAAUAUCAGAAAUAUAUUUAUACUCAUUAAUUAUUAUUGCUUUUCUUAUUAUUACUUCCUUCAAUGUCCUGGCACUUUGACAUCUAGUGUUUUUCUGUCUAGCAGCCAAAAUUGUGGUCUUUCUGAAUGUGUAUGUCCUAAGUCUUCAUUGGUGUAUCUAGCUAUAUAACAAAAAUCUGCAUCUCUCUCUCUUCUCACCCAGUUGUCCCCGUACAUCCUUUCAGUAUCCAAAGAAUUUCAAUUUACAUCUUGUAAUCACUCAACUAAUGCAGUGCAAUCCUCAUCUCUGUAUUUUACCGUGUGGACAUACUCUUUCCUUCCAUGUUCCACUGUCGUAUGUUAUUCCACAUCUAACACAACCACAUCCCAACAGAUCCGAACACGUCCGAUAUCAUCCAAGAGAAUGUGGCAGCUGAAGGGGGAGAGGCCAAGAAAGAGGCCAAGGGUGAAGACAUUUAGCCACCCCCCCUGAAGUACAUGGCAUCAUUCAACCCUCUUGGUGAGCUACAGGAAUGUGCUUCCCAUUGCAGUGCACCAGCUCCAUGUACUGAUUUUGGGUGUGAACUUGAUGGGGUUGGAGGAAACUUGACUCGGCCAUCAAGCUCACCACAAUAUAACAUGAAAAGUGAAAAUUGCUGCACACAACAGUCUGUCGUCUGCACCGGGAGGCAAGGCAGCUCAAAGCCCAGGCUGUUACAAAUCCUGGGCAGUUUUUGCCCAGAGCCAGCAAUUUUUUAGAUCCAAUAGGGAUGGAUUUUUUAUGAGGUCAGGUUCAACAUGCUGCAAGAUGCCAAGAUCUAAGCCUAGUAGGAGAUAUGGGUUACAAGAGAGGAGGUUUGCUCUGGCCUUAUACUAUCAAAGUCCAAAUGCUAAUAGAUUUCUGAGCACAGUAUUUCACUUGUCUUCAGUUUCAACACUUCAAUCAUGACUCACGGGUAUUUCAGUACAUGUUGGCUGGAGCAAACAGACUCUGACAGCCCUGCAGCAAAGAGCACAGGCUUUGUCAAAAGAAGAGAAACUUUGUGGGAUUUGCCAUUAUUUAGUAUUACUCUUGUUACGCCAAGAAUUUUUUUCCAUAUACUUUGCCAAAUAUUGCAAGUAAUGCACCAUUGUUGGGCUUGCUUGUUAUAAAUCAUAUCUUGUUCAAUUAACAAGCUUUGGGUGUCUGCCACUUUCCAGUUGUAAUGCAAGAAAUCAUUUAUCUUCCCUGCUAGAUAUCACACGUAAUGCACC